UUUCCCACCUCAGUAGACCCAAUAUAGAAACCCCCUCAUAGACAGAUCAGUCUCCUAGGUGAUCCUAGAUCCUGUCGAGCUGAGAAUCAGUGUCCAUAGGAUAAUAAAUCUUUCACAGACCAGAAAUUCCAUCCUUGGCUAGGAAGUCUUCUAGGUCCUUCCUAGGGGUCCCUUUCAUGAGUUGUCAAAAAGUGUUCCGCUGCCAUAAAAAUUUUUUUUCUGUGCUCCCUGGGGAGCUAUUGCUUAGGCUUCUGGAAAGUCUGGACGUGAGGGAGUGUCUCCUGAUUCUGAUUCUUCAUACUCCGUGAGGCUUAGAUCUGCUCCUUUGUGGUCUUUCCGGGCCUCAGGCCACAGAGGUCUCCAUGACGUUGACUCCCCCUUUGCUCCACCCCAGGAGGUAGCUGGUCAGUGCUGCCUGAGCCUCAGACCACCCAUGAAAGUGUAGCUUCCCAUUACUCGUCUCCUGUGAGCCAGAAGGCAGCUGUGUCCUGGGCCCUGUGACAGGUGUCCCCCUUGGGGUCAGUGGUGCUUCAUGAAGCACCCGUGUCCCUUUGAGGCUCCUCUGGAGGAUGGUAGAGCCUGCUCAGGCCUGUUCUAUGCUUGCUCUCGCCUGAGCCUACUGCGGCCGUGGCUGCUGUAUUCCUCUCUACCCUCUGCUGAGCUUCAGGCACAUGGCCGUGCUGACCCAGGUGCCCACUGCUCCCUGUGCCUCAGCCCCCCACCUGGCUGCCAAGUACUCUGUGUCUGUCCAGGGCAGGCUGCUUAAGUUCAAGUUUGCUUCCCUCGUCAGAGUAAUCAGGGUGCAUAUUAGCUCCUUUCUCGUUACUGCGACCAAAUACCCGCUGAGAAGAAACUUAAGGGAGAAAAUAUUCCUUUUGGCUCACAGUCUAAGAAAGAAUACACCAUAGCGGUGAAUCAUAGCAGCAAGAGCCUGGUAUGGCUGGUGACAUUGAGCCUACAGUCAGGAAGCAGAGAGAGAGAGAGAGAGAGAGAGAGAGAGAGAGAGAGAGAGACAGAGACAGAGACAGAGACAGAGACAGAGAGACAGAGAGACAGAGAUGAAUGUUCAAGUUGACACACACACCCAUUUUCAUGUGUGUGUAUAGGCAUGUUUUUGCGUGUGUGGGCACAUGUGGGUGUGCAUGUAUACGUGUAUGUAUGUACAUGUGGAGGCCUGAGGUUGAUGCUACAAAUCAUCUUUGGUUCCUCUCACCUUAUUCAACAAGGCAGCAUCGCUCAAUCAGAGUCAAAGUUUGUUGAUGUGGCUAGUCUUGCUAGGUGGCAUCCUCUGGGGAUCCCCUGUCUUUACCUUUGGAGGCUGGAAUUACAGGUGAGUCACCACACCCACCCAGAAUUGACAUAGUUUUGGGGAUCCAAACUCCUGUCCUCCACUACUUGCCUAGCAAGCACUUUAGCUGCUGAGCACCUCCACCUCCAACUCUAGACUUUCUCUUUUUUAUUCAGCCCCAAACUGCAGCCCAUGGCAUGAUGCUACCCACAUUGAGGGUGGGUCCUCCCUUCUCAAUUGAACCUCUCUGGAAACACCCUCAUAGACACAUCCAGAGGUGCGUUUCCAUGGUGAUCCCAAAUCCAGUCAUGUUGACGUGAACAUUAGCAUGCCAGUUUCAUGUGGGUUUGUUAAUGCUCAAGCAAGUGCUUUGGUGCAGAAGGUUUGGGUCCAGUCACUCAGAGUGGAACUCUAGCCCGAUGACAUUGGUGACUAGAGUCGGGUUUUUUGUAUCCUGGUCCAUUCUUUUAGUCGGUAGGCCCCGGGUAGAUGAUGAGUAGGCCAUUCCUCAGAAGCUUAUCCCAGGCAUAUACUCAAAUCUUUCUGCUGUAUGGACACUACAUCUUUCAAAUGGGAUCCUAGGAUCACAUGUAAGCAUUCACAGGUAUUACACCAACCUCCAGAACCUCACGAGUCCUCAGUACACAUUAGCCCUUCAUCUGACCCCCAUUGCCCUGACCAGGGUGGCAAGAACCAAAGAUGGUUAUAAUCCCAGCACCCAGAAAGAGACAGAGAAGGAUCCAAGUUCAAGAAUAUCCUUGGCUACGUAGUGAGUUUAAGGUCAGCGUGGAUGGCAGGAAAUGCUAUAUCUAAAAACCAAAGCAUGGGGCUGGAGAGAUGGCUCAGCAGUUAAAAGUGUGCACUGCCCUUUCAGAACCCCAGUGUGGUUCCCAGAAUCCACAUUCAGCGGCUUGCAGUUAUCUGUGGCUCCAGCUCCAGGGGGAUCUGACACCUCUAGCCUCUGCAGGCACUCACACUCCCGUGCACAAAGCUGCACAUAGACAUACACACCCGCCAUUAUGGAAUAUUAAUUUGGAGGCAAGCAUUAGUCAGAUGGUCAAAAUGGCACAGAAACAAAUGUUCUUAUGACAAGUGCUAUGACAUUUUCUGGAGACAGGGGCUGGGACUCGGUGCUGGAGUCCUCAUCUAGCAUGCCCAGGAUUUGAUUACACAACCACAAGGGGGGGUGUGUGUGUGUGUGUGUGUGUGUGUGUGUGUGUGUGUGUGUGUGUGUGUAUGUGUGUACAGAGCCAAUGAAACAUUGUUUCUGGACAGUCUUCCUAUUACUUUCUAGAUUUUAGAAGUUUAACCUGAGCUAAUGUUUUAGGAAGUGUGCGUUUCAUUUGAGGAAAAUCAAUCACUGGCUUCUCCAUCAGAGGAAUGUGUGGCUGAGUGAUAUAGAGUCUGAGCACUCACAAAAGGACCAUGUCACAGUUUCCUGGAAGGAUGAUCAAGGACCCAGAAUUGAGGCUGCCUCAGAACUGGCAUGGACUCCCAGCAUGCCUCAGGCUUCCAGAGAACUUGACCAGAGGGUCCAAAUGGAAAGAAGUCUUUUUUUUGGUACCUGUCCUGGAACUUGCUUUGUAGACCAGGCUGGCCUCAAACUGACAGAGAUCCACCUGCCUCUGCCUCCCAAGUGCUGGGAUCAAAGGUGUGUGCCACUGCCGCCCGGUGGAAAGAAGUCUUUAGUAGUGCGGCUCUGAGUGCAGUCUACAGUCUUUCCUCUUGAGUUCAUCUAUUGACUGCCUGGACAGAGGAAGCCUGUGGCUCACAUUCCAGGGACAGGGUCAGUAAUAGAGAAAGGGCUGUGAACUCUUGGGACAAGAGCAUAAGAUCUGAAAAGACCUGCAGGGGGUUGAUGUUACGCAUGCUGUUAAACACUGGAUGGGAGGCCUGGCAUGGUGGCAUACUCCUUUAAUCCCAACACUUGGGAGGCAAAGACAGGCGGAUCCCUAGGAGUUUGAGGCCAGCUUGGUCUACAUAGCGAGUUCUAGAACAGCCAGAGCUACAUAGUGAGACCCUGUCUCAACAACAACAAAAAAAAAAUGUGAAAAUUGGAGGGGCUGGGAAGAUGGCUCAGAUGCUUGCUUUGCAAGCACAAGGACCUGAAAUCCAACCCCCAGAACCCAUGUAAAAACUCUAGGCAUGGCAGCAUGUGCCUCCAAUCCUAGCACUGGAAAGGCAGAGGCAGGAGGCUGGCCAGGCAGCCUUGUCUACCCAGUGAGUUCCAGGACAAUGAGAGUUCCUGUCUCAAAGGAGGUGGAUGGAGUUUCCAAAGGUGGCACCUGAGGUCAUCCUCUGGCCUCCUCAAGCAUACAUACAUGUGCACCCAUACACACACGAACACACAUUAUGUAGUUACACAAAUGUCAAGGUGCCACGACCUGACUUGGCUGAGGGCCUUGAGGUGAAAUCCUGUCUCCACCUCUCCAGCCCUGGAAUUACGAGUGCACACUGUCACACCCAUCCUUUCCCAUGGAAACAAGGGAUUUGAGUUUAGGGCCUUGUGCUUAUGCAGCAAGGGCGUUACUGAACCGUCUGCCCAGCUACCCUAGCAGGACUCUUAUAGACAGAGAUUACAAGCUUCAGAGUUAGCUGGACCUACAAUGUACAAGCUGAUCUUUUUUUUCCAGUUUAGAAAUUUCCAGUCCUGAGUUGGUCAUGCUUCAGUAUGGGCUGCGAAACUCUCCCCUGAUUCUCAAGGAAUUGAAAAGAAAAUCUGGGCCAUUUAGAGCUGCCUCUCAGAUGCAGUUCUGGGCCAUGCUGUGAAAGUAAGCAAAUAUUAAGGACAGUGUGCCUGUUUGGUGAGCAGUGCUCCCCCAAAGACAGAGGGGCUGUGUUCUGAGGUUGACGAGAGAGCGUGUGAGUUUGUCAAUGUUGUGACGUGUGUAUGUGUGUGCCUGUAAACGUGCAGGUCCCUGCUGCUUGGCCUGAGAACCUGGCUCUAGGAGUCGCCUCUGAAGAGGGGAUGAGGCUCAGGGCUAGUGUGAGAGGAUACUCACUCCUGUUUGAUUAUCCACCUUUUUGUGCAGUUUGAACUAUUUACCAUGCUGUGAUGGUUAAUAAUGUUUGUCAAUCUAACACGACCUAGAGUCACCAAAGAGACAAGCCUCUGGGCAUGCCUGGGAGGGAUGAUCUUGAUUAGGUUAAUUAGUUGAGGUGGGAAAAUUCACCCUAUGUAUGAGCAGUGCAGCACCACAGCUGUACACAAUGAGAAAGGGAGCAGAGUAUCCAGCAUUCAUUGCUCUUUGGUUUCUGACUGUGGAUACAAAGUAACCAGCUGCCUCUUGCUCCUGCCAUCUUGAGAUAACUGCCAUGAUGGACUGUAUCCCCUGGAACUGUAAAACAAAAUGAACCCCAUGACUCAUGGACAGCAUAUGGGCUGCAUUACCCCCUGAAGUGAUGGUGGAGGGGAAGAGGACGGGAGCAAGUUUGCCUGACCCUCCUUGAAGAGGGUUAUCCACGAUGACAGCAAAGCCAUGGUAGCUGGAGCAGCCGAGAGCUCACAUCCCAAGCAGCAAACAAGAAAUGGAGAACACUGGGAAUGGCACCUCAAAGCCCAUCCAUGAUGUGCCUCCUCCAAUAAGGCCACACCUCCUAAUCCUUCCCAAAACAGUUCUACUAACUGGGAACCAAGUAUUCCAUCAUAUGAGCCUAUGAGGGCCAUUCUCAUUCAUGUCUUUUGUUUGGUUUUUUUAGUCCCUCCUCUCUCUGUUUUGCUCUGUGUGUGUGUGUGUGUGUGUGUGUGUGUGUGUGUGUGUGUGUUUGUGUGGAUUUGUAUGUGACUGUGCACACAUGCUCAGAGGCUAGUAGACAACUUUCAGGCAUUGGUUCUCUCCUUUCUAUGUGGGUCCCAGGAAUUGAACUCAGGUGGUCUGGCUUGGUAAUGAAUGCCUUUACCCUCUGAGCCAUCUUGCCACCCCUAGGCUUGUCUUUCAGAAGCUUGCUUUUUAUUAUGGUUUUGAGGUUUUUUUCCUGUGUUAAUACACACACACAUCUGGGGUCUACAGUGUGACUGUCCACGGUCGAUAAUUUGGGACUGUUUCUCUUUCUACAGCUGUGCACGCGCUCCCAUGAACACACGCCCAUGUGACAGGGAUGGGCUUUUUCUGGACUGUAAGGUUUCAUACAUUGAAAACCUUAUCUAUAUGUCUGCUCAGGGAGCUUGAAAACAGAGACAUAGAUCUGAGCCCUCCCUCAGACCGUAUCUCAGCAGCAUGGCUCUGCUGAGAAUCCAGGAGCUGCAGCUGGAAAGGGAGGAGUGUGUUAGAGAGCAUGUUUCUGGUUCUGUAGGCUCUUGCCAGACAGAAUGCAGCUUUUCAGAUCCACCAGGUCUGGAUUUCUAUCCCCCAGUCCUGUGUCCUCUUGAAUAUCUCCCAACUUCAGUAUUAUUAACCUUUUAAAUUUUGUGUCCAUCUGAAAUAGUCUCUUCUCAAUGCACAUGUACAUGCACACUUCGGUUUUUAAGAUUUACUCUUUAUUUUUAAUCGUGUGUGUGUGUGUGUGUGUGUGUGUGUGUGUGUGUGUGUGUGUGUGUGUGUGUACAUGUGUGCAGGCACCUGCAGAGGCCAGAAGUGAGUGUUGGAUGCCCCAGAGUUUGAGGCAGUUGUGAGACAUCUGACAUAGAUGCUGGGAACCAAAUUUGGGUCCUGUGUAAAAGCAGAAAGUGCCCUGAACCCCUGAGCCUUCUCCCCAGCCCAUCGUUGGUUUUUAGUGUUAAGCUGUGUGGCCCAGGCUGUGCUUGGGCUGAUCUUCCUGCCUCUGUCUCCUGAUGCUAAGGUUGUGUUCUCAUGCCCAGCUGCUGUUUCUCAUUUUCACUGACUUAUUUUUCCUCCUAAUUCCUGAUAUAGUUGAGAAUUUUCUUAACUUUAUUUGACAUUUGGGUCUUCAGAUAGAAGCCCUGAGGCGAUCUGAGCUUCAUAAAGAAAAGUACAUUCCAAGGCAGAUUAAAGACCUAAAUGUGAAAAGUAAACAUUUUAAAUUUUUUUUGAGAAAAUAUAGAUGAACCGUGGCAGAGUUUCUUAAUGACACAGAAGUACUGGGAGAAGGGAAGGAUUGCUUAUUUGAGGACAUAUUAAACUGUGUGACAGACGAUACCAUCCACAAAGUGGGAGGAUCAGGCCACAGUCCAGCAGCAGCCAUUUGCAAACCGUUUGACCAAUGAGGAUUAGUUUCCAAAAUAUAAAGAGCUCUUGCAAAUUGAUUUUUUUCUUAGAUUCAGAAGUCUGUCUUUGACUAUUCAUAAGAUUGAGUUCAUGUUUAUCAGGGUUUUUUAUAUUUCAUUUCAUAAAACUCUGAGUCUUACAUUUCUGUGAUUUUGACCACUGGGUCUUUUUCUUAAUGUGUGUGUGUGUGUGUGUGUGUGUGUGUGUGUGUGUGUGUGUGUGUGCAUGUGGAGGCCAGAGGUCAACCUUCCUUGGGUACCAUCCACCUUUUUCUUUGUAUAAUUGUGUGUGUGUGUGUGUGUGUGUGUGUGUGUGUGUGUGUGUGUUGGUUUGAAAAAGAAUGGCCCCCAUAGGCUCAUAUAUGGGCAUGCUUGGUCCCGAAUUUAUGAACAUGUUAUGAAGGAUUAGGAGGUGUGGCCUUGUUGGAGAAGGUGUGGCCUUGUUGGAGAAGGUGUGGCCUUGUUGGAGUAGGUGUGGCCUCGUUGGAGUAGGUGUGGCCUCGUUGGAGUAGGUGUGGCCUUGUUGGAGUAGGUGUGGCCUUGUUGGAGAAGGUGUGUCGCUGUGGUGGUGGGCUUUGAGGUUUCAGAAGUCCAUGCCAGGCCCAGUGUCUCUCUUUCCCCGCCUGCCUGUGGAUCUGGCUGUAGCUCUCAGCCACUGCUCCAGCGCCUGCCUGUGUGCAGCCACGCUCCCCACCAUGCUGAUGAUGGACUAACACUCUCAAACUGUAAGCCAGCUCCCGAUUAAAUGUUUUCUUUUAUGAGA